GCGAAUGGGUGAGUAACACGUACUUAACAUGCCUUUUAGAUUGGGAUAACGAUGAGAAAUUAUCGCUAAUACCGGAUACUUAUAUGGAACGCAUGUUCUAUAUAUAAAAGGAGCCUUAAAGCUUCACUAAAGGAUUGGGGUGCGUAACAUUAGCUAGUUGGUAGGGUAAUGGCCUACCAAGGCUAUGAUGUUUAACGGGGUUGAGAGACUGAACCGUCACACUGGGACUGAGAUACGGCCCAGACUCCUACGGGAGGCAGCAGUAGGGAAUUUUCCACAAUGGACGAAAGUUUGAUGGAGCGACACAGCGUGCAGGAUGAAGGCCUUCGGGUUGUAAACUGCUGUUAUUUAGGAUGAAAAAAUAGUAGAGGAAAUGCUAUUAUCUUGACAGUACUAAAUCAGAAAGCAACGGCUAACUAUGUGCCAGCAGCCGCGGUAAUACAUAGGUUGCAAGCGUUAUCCGGAAUUAUUGGGUGUAAAGCGUCUGUAGGUUGUAUGUUAAGUCUGACGUCAAAACUUGGGGCUCAACCCCAAAUCGCGUUGGAUACUGGCAUACUAGAAUUGCAUAGAGGUUAACGGAAUUCCUUGUGAAGCGGUGAAAUGCGUAGAUAUAAGGAAGAACACCAACAUGGCGAAGCCAGUUAACUGGGUGCAUAUUGACACUGAGAGACGAAAGCGUGGGGAGCAAACAGGAUUAGAUACCCUGGUAGUCCACGCCGUAAACGAUGAUGAUUAGCUAAUAGUGAUGAAGCUAUUGGCGCAGYUAACGCAUUAAAUCAUCCACCUGAGUAGUAUGCUCGCAAGAGUGAAACUUAAAGGAAUUGACGGGGAUCCGCACAAGCGUUGGAGCAUGUGGUUUAAUUUGAAGAUACGCGUAGAACCUUACCCACUCUUGACAUCUUCCGC
rnacentral:rRNA from 1 species